UGCGUAGGUGGUUGUUUAAGUCUGUUGUGAAAGCCCUGGGCUCAACCUGGGAAUUGCAGUGGAUACUGGGCGACUAGAGUGUGGUAGAGGGUAGUGGAAUUCCCGGUGUAGCAGUGAAAUGCGUAGAGAUCGGGAGGAACACCAGUGGCGAAGGCGGCUUACUGGUCCAUUACUGACGCUGAGGUGCGAAAGCGUGAGGAGCAAGCA
rnacentral:rRNA from 1 species